rnacentral:hammerhead_ribozyme from 1 species
AUCUAGCUGAUGAGUCCCAAAUAGGAGGAAACGUGCGUCCUGGAU